CCUGGGCUGCCCUGGCUGUCGUUGAACAGCUGGCACAUCUGCCAGCCAGUGCCAGCCAGCCAGCACAUCUGCCAGCCAAGCAAUUCGGGAGUGGAGGGGGUCGCCUCAGCGCUGCAGAGCUGGCACUCCCUGCCUGCCUGUGGCUGGCGAGCAGGACACAGCCAGAGACGGGUUUCUGGUGCUGGCAGGAAGAUACAGCCUCAAGAGGAAAAAAAAAGGCUUUAUGAGAACACAAACAAUUUGGAAUGUGACAGCUAGAAGAAGUCCUCUUUGCUGUCAAUUGAAGCUUGUCUCAUGCACAAUGAACGGGAGAUCUUGGUAAGGAUCCUUCACAUAACAGCCAGAGUUAUGGCUAUGCAAUGUUAUAUGACUAACAGAACUGCACGUGCCAAGUAACUGGCCCGGGUGUAAUUCUCCCUUAGUAGGUAAAAAUAAAAUUGCAGUAGCAAUAUUCUGGGAGUCUAUA
rnacentral:lncRNA from 1 species